rnacentral:rRNA from 1 species
UACGGAGGGUGCAAGCGUUAUCCGGAUUUACUGGGUUUAAAGGGUGUGUAGGCGGGUCUUUAAGUCAGUGGUGAAAUCUCCGAGCUUAACUUGGAAACUGCCAUUGAUACUAUUGAUCUUGAAUUCUGUUGAGGUAGGCGGAAUAAGUCAUGUAGCGGUGAAAUGCAUAGAUAUGACUUAGAACACCAAUUGCGAAGGCAGCUUGCUAAACAGAUAUUGACGCUGAGGCACGAAAGCGUGGGGAUCAAACAGG